AGUUUUGCGUAGUUGCUCUGCAAGAAAAUUGAGUUGUGCAAAUCUAUGCAAAACUGA
ensembl:miRNA gmo-mir-19a-2 gmo-mir-19a-2